rnacentral:rRNA from 3 species
UUGUAUGUNNNNAUGANUAANGAUCGGCUAACUCCGUGCCAGCAGCCGCGGUAAUACGGAGGAUCCGAGCGUUAUCCGGAUUUAUUGGGUUUAAAGGGUGCGUAGGCGGCCUUUUAAGUCAGCGGUGAAAGUCUGUGGCUCAACCAUAGAAUUGCCGUUGAAACUGGGGGGCUUGAGUAUGUUUGAGGCAGGCGGAAUGCGUGGUGUAGCGGUGAAAUGCAUAGAUAUCACGCAGAACCCCGAUUGCGAAGGCAGCCUGCCAAGCCAUUACUGACGCUGAUGCACGAAAGCGUGGGGAUCAAACAGGAUUAGAUACCCUGGUAGUCCACGCAGUAAACGAUGAUCACUAGCUGUUUGCGAUACACUGUAAGCGGCACAGCGAAAGCGUUAAGUGAUCCACCUGGGGAGUACGCCGGCAACGGUGAAACUCAAAGGAAUUGACGGGGGCCCGCACAAGCGGAGGAACAUGUGGUUUAAUUCGAUGAUACGCGAGGAACCUUACCCGGGUUUGAACGCAUUCGGACCGAGGUGGAAACACCUUUUCUAGCAAUAGCCGUUUGCGAGGUGCUGCAUGGUUGUCGUCAGCUCGUGCCGUGAGGUGUCGGCUUAAGUGCCAUAACGAGCGCAACCCUUGCCACUAGUUACUAACAGGUGAUGCUGAGGACUCUGGUGGGACUGCCAGCGUAAGCUGCGAGGAAGGCGGGGAUGACGUCAAAUCAGCACGGCCCUUACAUCCGGGGCGACACACGUGUUACAAUGGCGUGGACAAAGGGAGGCCACCUGGCGACAGGGAGCGAAUCCCCAAACCACGUCUCAGUUCGGAUCGGAGUCUGCAACCCGACUCCGUGAAGCUGGAUUCGCUAGUAAUCGCGCAUCAGCCAUGGCGCGGUGAAUACGUUCCCGGGCCUUGUACACACCGCCCGUCAAGCCAUGGGAGCCGGGGGUACCUGAAGUCCGUAACCGAAAG